rnacentral:rRNA from 1 species
CCUACGGGGAGCAGCAGUGAGGAAUAUUGGUCAAUGGACGAGAGUCUGAACCAGCCAAGUAGCGUGAAGGAUGACUGCCCUAUGGGUUGUAAACUUCUUUUAUAUGGGAAUAAAAUGUUCCACGUGUGGGAUUUUGUAUGUACCAUAUGAAUAAGGAUCGGCUAACUCCGUGCCAGCAGCCGCGGUAAUACGGAGGAUCCGAGCGUUAUCCGGAUUUAUUGGGUUUAAAGGGAGCGUAGGUGGAUUGUUAAGUCAGUUGUGAAAGUUUGCGGCUCAACCGUAAAAUUGCAGUUGAAACUGGCAGUCUUGAGUACAGUAGAGGUGGGCGGAAUUCGUGGGGUAGCGGUGAAAUGCUUAGAUAUCACGAAGAACUCCGAUUGCGAAGGCAGUUCACUGGACUGCAACUGACACUGAGGCUCGAAAGUGUGGGUAUCAAACAGGAUUAGAUACCCUAGUAGUC